AGGAGGCACAACCCCAGUGGCCGGGGCCAGCUCUGGAGCCCUGGAUUCAGCUCCGGCAGGAACUCCGGAGUUCUCCGUCUGCAGGGCCUGGAGGCUCCGGGGCGGG
rfam:Canis lupus familiaris chromosome 15, whole genome shotgun sequence.